GAUGAACGCUAGCGGCAGGCUUAACACAUGCAAGUCGAGGGGCAGCGAGAGAGUAGCAAUACUUUUGUCGGCGACCGGCGGACGGGUGCGUAACGCGUAUGCAACCUACCUUAUACAGGGGGAUAACCUUUCGAAAGGGAGACUAAUACCGCAUAACAUUACUUUGAGGCAUCUUGAGGUAAUUAAAUCUUCGGAGGUAUAAGAUGGGCAUGCGUAGCAUUAGCUAGAUGGUGCGGUAACGGCGUACCAUGGCGACGAUGCUUAGGGGUUCUGAGAGGAAGGUCCCCCANACUGGUACUGAGAUACGGACCAGACUCCUACGGGAGGCAGCAGUGAGGAAUAUUGGUCAAUGGGUCGGAAGACUGAACCAGCCAUUGCCGCGUGCAGGAAGAAUG
rnacentral:rRNA from 1 species